UUAUUCCAUCCUUGUGCCCUGCUCCCCGCAUGCUCACCAUGUGUUUGAUGAAAAGCCGGUAAGGAUACCCGACCAUAUUAUUAUGAUAAUAUUUGCUGUUUUCGAGCAGAUUCAGUAUUUUAUUGUCAACGGAGUAACUCUGAACUUUUAUGUCUGUGCCACACUUGGUCUGCUAUAGACAUAUUACAAAUACAAGUUCGCAUCAGUCAAUUCAACACGAGCUCUACAUUUGUUUCUUCGCUAGGAGUGCAUAGUUGCUUGUUAUGCUUGCUUGAAUCAAAUUUUGAGAUGCAGAUUAGUCUAGCAUUGUCCAGGAUUGGAGGCAUUUAGUUUAGGAAUGGGUGCACAGGCCACCUAGCUUUCGUGAGUACAUACAACACUAGCCUCUUUAGAUUUAGUAUUUUCUUAUGGUGUGAGGUAUUGGCAAUGCUCGAGGAAGUAUUGGCAGGAAUCGGGAUGACUCAAUGAGAUUGGCUUUUGAUUUUGUUUUGUUCAUGUAGCUUGCAAACCAUCACUAUUUCCUGAAACUGAAAUGCUUCCACUCCUUAAGAACAUAUGUGGUGCCAAACUAAAGCUUUGUGAGGUUAUGCAGGGUGACAUGCAGAACAAUAAAUCAUAUUCGAAGAAACAGCUCCGGACCAUGCAAUUUUAAUAGAAUCAGUUUAUUACUAUAUAUGCAUAAUUUUAGAGUUGCCGUGAAAUUUAUCACUACCUUGUUCGCUGCAAGAGUUCCCUUAAGGAAAAUAGUAGUCUAAUGUAAGUUGGUGCAGUGCUAUUCAUCAGCUCAUGUGCUUAUUUCUUCAUUAGGGAAAACCUUUCGUGCUUGAUCCUUUGUCUGCCAUGGAUGAUGGUUGAAGAAAUGUUGAGUUUUCAGAACAGAAAUUUAUGAUUCUAGAUCAUGAAUUUCAUUCUUCAACACCAUUGAUCGAUAUUGUUCUUUUUUCCAUUGUGAACCAUGAAUAUGGAUGCCAUGGCUAAGCGCUGUGCUUUUUUUCAACCUGAAAUUCUGGGAACCUGAUUGGAGGAAUUUUUUUUUUUUAGAAACAGGUCACCCCUGCAACCAAUGCAUUGUCUGAUGAAGACGUCAAGGCUCUCACCAAUAGCUCGCAAGAUGGUGGGUUGAAGUUUUUGAGGAAAGGACUCUACAACCUUCAACGACAUGCAUGCUUAAAUAGUCUCACAUGGAGUUCCUCGUAUUAUUGAAUGCAAUCAACUAUAACAGUUCUUCUGUCCUUUGCCUCCCACAUAUAUGUUGAGCUACAAGAAUGCCUGGUUCACCACAUAAAUUUGAAGUAUUGACAUUUUGAGGUGCAAUUCAAUAGAUCCUGAAGUCAAUUGCCAGCACAGAAUGUCAAGCAAGCAAACAGUAGUGCCAAUGCAAAAAAACAAACCCGCUGCUCAUGCAGUUAUAGAAGCAACAAGUCUGCCUCAAUGAUAUUUUUAUAUCGAGUCUUCAGUCUUUGGUGCUUCUCAUGGUAUCUUGUUUUUCUUUAUUAUGUUCUUUUUUAGAUAGUGGCUUCACUGUAUUAUGCAAAUAAAAUCAAUAUUGUGUAACCUCAUGUCAAUCCACACAUGGAUUGAUCGAUAUAUUUUGUACAUGAUGGACGGAUUUUUCUUUUGUUAAGCAUGAUCAUUUGACUAUUUGUUGAUU